rnacentral:rRNA from 1 species
GCAAGGGGGUCAUCCCGACUUACCAACCCGAUGCAAACUGCGAAUACCGGAGAAUGUUAUCACGGGAGACACACGGCGGGUGCUAACGUCCGUCGUGAAGAGGGAAACAACCCAGACCGCCAGCUAAGGUCCCAAAGUCAUGGUUAAGUGGGAAACGAUGUGGGAAGGCCCAGACAGCCAGGAUGUUGGCUUAGAAGCAGCCAUCAUUUAAAGAAAGCGUAAUAGCUCACUGGUCGAGUCGGCCUGCGCGGAAGAUGUAACGGGGCUAAACCAUGCACCGAAGCUGCGGCAGCGACACUAUGUGUUGUUGGGUAGGGGAGCGU